rnacentral:misc_RNA from 1 species
GUGAAUCAUCGAAUCUUUGAACGCAAAUUGCACUCUCCUCGGAGAGUAUGCCUGUUUGAGGGUCAGCCUAAAAAAAAAAAUCGACAUCGUUUCUGUUUCGCGGUUACGUUAGUCGGAAAUUUGGUCAUCUUAAAACUUUUGGUUUUUUAGUUACUUAAAAUUUUCUUUUGACCCCAUGAACGUUUCUAAGAUUUAUAUCUUUACACGUUUAAGGGUAUCGAUGUUAUUAGUA